UUUACAGAUAACACUAACUCCUCCUACUUAUUUCCCCAUUUAAAUGUUUCACUUGAAAGAUUUGAUUUAGGCUGUCCUUGACAUUCAUGCUGAGAUAAGUCCUGGCAACAAGAGGAAUUGGGAACAACCUCAAGGGCUUCAGUGUCAUCAUCAACUCUCUUCUCCCUCAUCCAGAGAUUUCAAAACUUCAAAGGAAGUGAAAAGUAUCUCUUCCUUAGGUCAUCUGAUUACUUGGUACAAGACUGGAAUCAAAUAGUUGGAGUAAACCAAAAGGGUCUCACUCUGAAGCUCAAGAUAACAUCAAACUCAUGAUCCUCCUCUCCAGACCUUCUGAGUGCUACUGUUGUAUAUCCAGACUGGUGUUUCAUGUCUUAGUGAUUCUAUGCUAGGGAGUAAAUAUGAAAACUACAGGUGCUGAAGAGGUCAGAAGAGGGUGUUGAAUUUCCUGGAGCUGGAGUCACAAGCAGUUGUGAGUUGUCUGAUGUAGGUGCUGGGAAUGGAACGUCAGUCUUCUAGGAGAGCAGUAGACACCCUUUAACUGUGGAGCCUUCUCUCUAGCCUCUUAUCCUUUAAGUUUUAAUAAAAGAAUAAAGGAAAUUGCAAAAUAUUGCCCACAGAAAUGAAAGAAAGCUUUAAUUAUGGACAGAUGUGCCUUGUGCAUGGUCUUGAUGACUCAGCAUUAUUGCUACUUCUCAAAUUGAUGUGUAGAUUCAAUGUUAUCUCAGUAAAAAGCCCAGUAAAUGUGUUUUUUUGGUUUUUGUUUCUUCUUUAGGUUGAGACAGCAUCUUAUGUAGUCUGGACUGGUACACUCACUCUGCACCUGAGGAUGACUCUGAACUUCCUUACGAUUUUCCUACCUCUAUCUCCUGAGUGUACACUUAGCUGUGAGCACCACACCUGGCUCUUACUGACAUUCUCUGCAGUGGUUUUAGAAAUUGACCAGGUGAUUCCAACACAAGAGAAUUCCAAAAAAAAUACCCAGAAUAACUGGACUCAAAACAAAACAACUCUAAGAUGCCUUUACAAAGAAAAGAACUAAAGAAGCUGAAAAGCAGCAAGCCAAGUAAUCCAAUUAAAAAAUGGGGAACAGAGCUGAACAGAGAAUUCUCGACAGAGGAAUAUCGAAUGUCAGAGAAACUCUUAAAGAAAUGCUCAACCUCAUUAGCCAUCAGGGAAAUGCAAAUCAAAACGACCCUGAGAUUUCACCUCACACCCAUCAGAAUGGUCAAGAUGAAAAACUCAAGUGACAACACAUGCUGGAGAGGUUGUGGAGAAAGGGGAACCCUCCUCCACUGCUGGUGGGAAUGUAAACUGGUACAACCACUUUGGAAAUCUAUCUGGCGCUUUCUCAGACAAUUAGGAAUAGUGCUUCCUCAAGACCCAGCUAUACCACUGCUAGGUAUAUACCCAAACUUUGCUCAAGUACACAAAAGGGAUAUUUCCUCAAACAAUUUGCUAUAUGUUUAUAGCAGCUUUAUUUGUAAUAGCCAGAACCUGGAAACAACCUGGAAACAACGGAGAAAUGGAUACAGAAAUUGUGGUAUUUUUACACAAUGGAAUACUACUCAGCAAUCAAAAAGGAGGAAAUCAUGAAAUUUGCAGGCAAAUGGUGGGAUCUAGAAAAGAUCAUUCUGAGUGAAAUAUCCCAGAAGGAGAAAGAUAAACACGGUAUAUACUCACUUAUAUAGACCUAUAAGAUAUGAUAAACAUAAUGAAAUCAAUACACCUAAAAAAGAUAAUCAAGAGAGCGGACAUGGGGUAAGAUGAUCAAUCCUCGUUUAGAAAGAUGUGCGUUGAACGUAUGACAGGAGUCUACUGAAGGCAUCUGAAAGACUCUAACUAGCAGUGUUUUCAAAGCAGAUACAAAGACUCAAAACCAAACCUUUGGCAGAGUACAGGGAAUCAUAUGAAAGAAGGGGAGUUAGUAUGAUGGGGAAAGGAUAGGAGCUCCACAAGGACCAAAUAUAUCUGGGCACAGGGUCUUUUCUGACAUUCAACCAAGGACCAUGUAUGGAUAUAACCUAGAACCUCUGCUUGGAUGUAGCCCGUGGUAGCUCAGUAACCAAUUGGUUUCCCAUAGUAAGGGGAACAAGGACUAUUUCUAACAGGAACUCAAUGGCUGGCUCUUUGACCUCCCACCCCCCAAGGGAGGAGCAGUCCUGUUAGGCCACAGAGGAGGGCUUUGCAGCCAGUCCUGAAGAUACCUGAUAAAACAGGAUCAGAUGAAUGGGGAGGAGGCCCCCCCCA